AAACCUGUCCCCGUCCCUCGUAGCGUUGGGCAGGUCUCCUCCCUCCCUGGGCCGCUGGUUGCGCGCGGGUCGGCAGGAGGACACCCCGUCCUCCGACUUUGGUUCGGAGGCUCCUCGCCCUCCACCUGCGUAGUCGGAGGUGUGCGCGGCUGCAGCUCCGACUACCUGGGAGCGGUUCCGCGCCUCCCCCCACAGUUACCAGGUGACAGGGGUGUUUAUGAAGAACUGGGACUCACUGGAUGAACAUGGGGUCUGUACUGCCGACAAAGACUGUGAAGACGCUUACAGAGUUUGCCAGAUCUUAGACAUCCCUUUCCAUCAAGUGUCCUACGUAAAGGAGUAUUGGAACGAUGUGUUCAGGGGCAGAUGCCAUUGCCACAGGUCACUACGCAAGAACUUCACUGGAAGAUGAAGAAGUCUUUGAGCAGAAGCACAUUAAGAAGCCAGAAGGGCUUUUCAGAAAUCGGUUUGAAGUUAGAAAUGCCAGGUUUCCCAGGAUGCCCUGAGGAGAACCAUCUUCCCUCUGGGGGGAUUAACGAAAGAGUUCGUAAAGAAAAU
rnacentral:sRNA from 1 species